CAAACAAGGUCAAGCUGUGCACUCUAGACAGACUGCCGUGGACAACACGGAGGAAGGUGGGGAGUGACGUCAAAUCAUCAUGCCCCUUAUGAUCUGGGCUACACACGUGCUACAAUGGCCGGUACAACGGGCAGCGAAGGAGCGAUCCGGAGCGAAUCCUAAAAAGCCGGUCCCAGUUCGGAUUGCAGGCUGAAACUCGCCUACAUGAAGUUGGAGUUGCUAGUAAUCGCGAAUCAGAAUGUCGCGGUGAAUGCGUUCCCGGGUCUU
rnacentral:rRNA from 1 species